CAAUCCUGUCUGGGUGAGGAUGUGACCUUGGUGUGGAUCCUCGUGUCUGAAGGAAGGCUACACAGUGUUUUCUUAGUACUGUAGCUCCAUGUCUGCAGCCCCGCUGUCAAUCUUCCACAAGGAGGUAGAGCAAGCUUAGACUCUGCCCCAAAGAACCAUGUGACACCCGGGCACUGCCCUAGCAGUGGGAACUGAGUGGCAAGCCCAUGCAAAUGGAAUUUAGGGUCUCGAUGGGGAGACAGAGCCCCUAAGACAGCCAAGUCAACCAACCGCGGCGACGUUCAAGGCUGCCCACCUGCAGGGGCCUGCUGUACCAGGAAGCAGAAGAAGGCAGAACUCUGGCCAGGAGAACCAGCACUGCUCUACCCAAGCAAAGAGAGUGUCACAGCGAGUGCUCUGAGCAGUUCCAAUGUCUUUAUUGUGACUCCUUCCUAUUUCGAGAUUCUAAAAGCACCUGAUGUUUUCCAAAGUUGUUUUCCAUUGCAUUGCAGGGAGACAUGUAACCCCCAGCCCCCCAGACCUGACUGCAGGAGCACCACCUGUGCAGGUGGGGCAGCAUGGGCCCAGACUCCUCCUUCCAUUUCCGCAGGAAGGUCUCUUCCCCUGGAGGACUUAGCCUUAUUGCCGUCACAUGUGACCAGCGUUGGAGCGUGUUUCCAAGCUGCACCUGCAUGGGAUUGCUUAUCCAUUUCCCACUAAAAUCAAAGACACCUGUUUACCCGGGAGCUGCAGCAAUGAUUGCUGUGGUCUCCUUAUUUACUGCAAAUACAUUACUGUGUGAGGCAAUUCUGCUGGUGCAUUUCUUAAUCGAACUCUCCAGAAGGCAAGCCUUCAACCACUGCAGAACUGCUGCCUUUGCAACUUGGACUCCAGCCCCAAGGAGGAGGGCUAUGUGUGCGGCUGAGGGAGGGAGGUGAAGCCCAAGGAGGGACCCAGGAUCUCUUUGCCCCAUCUCCCAACCACGCCUUUGAUCUUUGUUUUUGCUGCUCCCUGUGUUUCAAGUGCCCUCCUCGCUCUCCAUCUCCACCUCAGA